AACGAACGCUGGCGGCAUGCCUAAUACAUGCAAGUCGAACGCUCGUAGCAAUACGGGAGUGGCGGACGGGUGAGUAACGCGUGGGAACCUGCCCAGUGGUAGGGAAUAACCGCGGGAAACUGCGGCUAAUACCCUAUGAGCCCUACGGGGGAAAGAUUUAUCGCCAUUGGAGGGGCCCGCGUCGGAUUAGCUAGUUGGUAGGGUAACGGCCUACCAAGGCGACGAUCCGUAGCUGGUCUGAGAGGAUGAUCAGCCACACUGGGACUGAGAUACGGCCCAGACUCCUACGGGAGGCAGCAGUAGGGAAUAUUGGACAAUGGGCGAAAGCCUGAUCCAGCAAUGCCGCGUGAGUGAAGAAGGCCUUAGGGUUGUAAAGCUCUUUCGGCGGGGAAGAUGAUGACGGUACCCGCAGAAGAAGCCCCGGCUAACUUCGUGCCAGCAGCCGCCGUAA
rnacentral:rRNA from 1 species